AGAGUUUGAUCCUGGCUCAGGACGAACGCUGGCGGCACGCUUAACACAUGCAAGUCGAACGAGAGAAGAGAAGCUUGCUUUUCUGAUCUAGUGGCGGACGGGUGAGUAACACGUGAGCAAUCUGCCUUUCAGAGGGGGAUACCGAUUGGAAACGAUCGUUAAUACCGCAUAACAUAAUUGAACCGCAUGAUUUGAUUAUCAAAGAUUUAUCGCUGAAAGAUGAGCUCGCGUCUGAUUAGCUAGUUGGUAAGGUAACGGCUUACCAAGGCGACGAUCAGUAGCCGGACUGAGAGGUUGAUCGGCCACAUUGGGACUGAGACACGGCCCAGACUCCUACGGGAGGCAGCAGUGGGGAAUAUUGCACAAUGGAGGAAACUCUGAUGCAGCGAUGCCGCGUGAGGGAAGAAGGUUUUAGGAUUGUAAACCUCUGUCUUCAGGGACGAAAAAUGACGGUACCUGAGGAGGAAGCUCCGGCUAACUACGUGCCAGCAGCCGCGGUAAUACGUAGGGAGCGAGCGUUGUCCGGAAUUACUGGGUGUAAAGGGAGCGUAGGCGGGAUCGCAAGUCAGAUGUGAAAACUAUGGGCUUAACCCAUAAACUGCAUUUGAAACUGUGGUUCUUGAGUGAAGUAGAGGUAAGCGGAAUUCCUAGUGUAGCGGUGAAAUGCGUAGAUAUUAGGAGGAACAUCAGUGGCGAAGGCGGCUUACUGGGCUUUAACUGACGCUGAGGCUCGAAAGCGUGGGGAGCAAACAGGAUUAGAUACCCUGGUAGUCCACGCCGUAAACGAUGAUUACUAGGUGUGGGGGGACUGACCUCUUCCGUGCCGCAGCAAACGCAAUAAGUAAUCCACCUGGGGAGUACGACCGCAAGGUUGAAACUCAAAGGAAUUGACGGGGGCCCGCACAAGCAGUGGAGUAUGUGGAUUAAUUCGAAGCAACGCGAAGAACCUUACCAGGUCUUGACAUCGUAUGCAUAGCUCAGAGAUGAGUGAAAUCUCUUCGGAGACAUAUAGACAGGUGGUGCAUGGUUGUCGUCAGCUCCGUGCCGGGAAAUGUUGGGUUAAGUCCCGCAACGAGCGCAACCCUUACUGUUAGUUGCUACGCAAGAACACUCUAGCAGGACUGCCGUUGACAAAACGGAGGAAGGGGGGGAUAGAGUCAAAAUCAUAAGGCCCCCUAAGACCUGGGCCUCAACCGUACACAAAGGGCGGUUAACAAAGGGGUGCAAACCCCCGAGGGGGAGCGACCCCUUUAAAAAGCUCUUAUUUCUAUGUGGGGCGGCACCCGCCUCAUGAAGUCGGAAUUGCUAGUAAUCGCAGAUCAGCAUGCUGCGGUGAAUACGUUCCCGGGCCUUGCACACACCGCCCGUC
rnacentral:rRNA from 1 species